rnacentral:tRNA from 3 species
GGAGAGGUGGGUGAGCGGUCGAAACCAGCGGUUUGCUAAACCGCCGUACCGCCAAAAGCGGUACCGAGGGUUCGAAUCCCUCCCUCUCCGCAA